AUUGAACGCUGGCGGCAUGCCUUACACAUGCAAGUCGAACGGCAGCGGGCCUUCGGGUGCCGGCGAGUGGCGAACGGGUGAGUAAUGCAUCGGAACGUGCCAUUGAGUGGGGGAUAACGUAGCGAAAGUUACGCUAAUACCGCAUAUUCUGUGAGCAGGAAAGCAGGGGACCGCAAGGCCUUGCGCUCUUUGAGCAGCCGAUGUCAGAUUAGCUAGUUGGUGAGGUAAAGGCUUACCAAGGCGACGAUCUGUAGCGGGUCUGAGAGGAUGAUCCGCCACACUGGAACUGAGACACGGUCCAGACUCCUACGGGAGGCAGCAGUGGGGAAUUUUGGACAAUGGGCGCAAGCCUGAUCCAGCCAUGCCGCGUGAGUGAAGAAGGCCUCGGUGUAAG
rnacentral:rRNA from 1 species